rnacentral:rRNA from 1 species
CCUACGGGGGGCUGCAGUGAGGAAUAUUGGUCCAUGGACGCAAGUCUGAAUCAGCCAUGUCGCGUGCAGGAAGACGGCUCUAUGAGUUGUAAACUGCUUUUGUACGAGGGUAAACGCAGAUACGCGUAUCUGUCUGAAAGUAUCGUACGAAUAAGGAUCGGCUAACUCCGUGCCACCAGACGCGGUAAUCCGGAGGAUUCAAGCGUUAUCCGGAUUUAUUGGGUUUAAAGGGUGCGCAGACGGAAGAUCAAGUCCGCGGUAAAAUGGAGAGGCUCAACCUCUUCGCGCCGUUGAAACUGGUUAGCUUGAGGGAGUGAGAAGUAUGCGGAAUGCGUGGUGUAGCGGUGAAAUGCAUAGAGAUCACGCAGAACUCCGAUUGCGAAGGCAGCAUACCGGCGCUCAACUGACGCUCAUGCACGAAAGUGUGGGUAUCGAACAGGAUUAGAUACCCCGGUAGUC